rfam:Ictidomys tridecemlineatus contig000300, whole genome shotgun sequence.
AUCCAUUUUUGCUUCAUAAGGAUGAUGAUUACAUGUUCCACGCCACUGUGUUGAGAACUGCUUCCCUCAGAACGGUGUUUCAAUAUUGGCACCUUUUCUGUCUGACA